AGAUUGAACGCUGGCGGCAUGCCUAACACAUGCAAGUCGAACGGGAGUAGCAAUACUCUAGUGGCGGACGGGUGAGGAAUACGUAGGAAUUUGCCCUUAAGUGGGGGAUAACCCGGGGAAACCCGGAUUAAUACCGCAUGACCUCGAAAGAGCAAAGUGGGGGAUCGCAAGACCUCACGCUUUUGGAGAAGCCUACGUCGGAUUAGCUAGUUGGUGAGGUAAUGGCUCACCAAGGCGACGAUCCGUAACUGGUCUGAGAGGAUGAUCAGUCACACCGGAACUGAGACACGGUCCGGACUCCUACGGGAGGCAGCAGGUGGGAAUAUUGGACAAGUGGGCGCGAAGCCUAGACUCCAGGCAAGUGCCGCGUGUCGGUAGAAGAAGGCCGUUGGGUGUAAACGCUACUUUAAGGUUAGGAAA
rnacentral:rRNA from 1 species